AGCCAACAAUAUAGAACUCAUAAAUUAGUGGUGGGAAUAUUUAGCUUUCAAAACCUCAUCAACUUCUCAUGUCGCUUAAUGUAGUUUUCAAGGCUGGAUACUAGCCCAGUUCUUAAAUACGCACUUAACUCUGUUUGAUGUAGCUGUCCAUCAAUGUAUAUUUUCAUGUCUUAUAUAUAGGUUUUGUCAUGAAAAAACCAUGUGUUUCAUGCACUUUAUACUCAUUGGAAUUCUAUAUAAUCUUACCUCCCAAAAAG